AACAGGAUUAGAUACCCUGGUAGUCCACGCCCUAAACGAUGUCAACUAGCUGUUGGGGCCUUCGGGCCUUGGUAGCGCAGCUAACGCGUGAAGUUGACCGCCUGGGGAGUACGGUCGCAAGAUUAAAACUCAAAGGAAUUGACGGGGACCCGCACAAGCGGUGGAUGAUGUGGAUUAAUUCGAUGCAACGCGAAAAACCUUACCUACCCUUGACAUGUCUGGAAUUCCGAAGAGAUUUGGAAGUGCUCGCAAGAGAACCGGAACACAGGUGCUGCAUGGCUGUCGUCAGCUCGUGUCGUGAGAUGUUGGGUUAAGUCCCGCAACGAGCGCAACCCUUGUCAUUAGUUGCUACGAAAGGGCACUCUAAUGAGACUGCCGGUGACAAACCGGAGGAAGGUGGGGAUGACGUCAAGUCCUCAUGGCCCUUAUGGGUAGGGCUUCACACGUCAUACAAUGGUCGGGACAGAGGGUCGCCAACCCGCGAGGGGGAGCCAAUCCCAGAAACCCGAUCGUAGUCCGGAUCGCAGUCUGCAACUCGACUGCGUGAGAUCGGAAUCGCUAGUAAUCGCGGAUCAGCAUGUCGCGGUGAAUACGUUCCCGGGUCUUGUACACACCGCCCGUCACACCAUGGGAGUGGGUUUUACCAGAAGUAGUUAGCCUAACCGCAAGGGGGGCGAUUACCACGGUAGGAUUCAUGACUGGGGUGAAGUCGUAACAAGGUAACC
rnacentral:rRNA from 1 species